rnacentral:rRNA from 1 species
UACGUAGGGUGCGAGCGUUGUCCGGAAUUAUUGGGCGUAAAGAGCUCGUAGGCGGUCUGUCGCGUCGAUCGUGAAAACUUGGGGCUUAACCCUGAGCUUGCGGUCGAUACGGGCAUGACUGGAGUUCGGCAGGGGAGACUGGAAUCCUGGUGUAGCGGUGAAAUGCGCAGAUAUCAGGAGGAACACCGGUGGCGAAGGCGGGUCUCUGGGGCCGAUACUGACGCUGAGGAGCGAAAGCGUGGGGAGCGAACAGG